AUUAGGUUGGUGAAAAAGUAACUGCAGUUUUUGACAUUACUUUUAAUGGCAAAGACUGCAAUUACCUUUGCACCUACCUAAU
rnacentral:miRNA from 1 species